UACGAAGGGGGCUAGCGUUACUCGGAUUGACUGGGCGUAAAGGGCGCGUAGGCGGUUUGUACAGUCAGACGUGAAAUUCCUGGGCUCAACCUGGGGGCUGCGUUUGAUACGUGCGGACUUGAGUUCGGAAGAGGGUCGUGGAAUUCCCAGUGUAGAGGUGAAAUUCGUAGAUAUUGGGAAGAACACCGGUGGCGAAGGCGGCUCUCUGGACCGAGACUGACGCUGAGGCGCGAAAGCGUGGGGAGCAAACAGG
rnacentral:rRNA from 1 species